rnacentral:rRNA from 1 species
CGGAGGAAAAGAAACUAACAAGGAUUCCCCUAGUAGCGGCGAGCGAAGCGGGAAGAGCCCAAGAUGAAAAGCCUGCUUGCAGGCGUUGUAUUUGGGCGUCCUUGGGGUGUCAGUGCGGGUAAGUUGUAUGGAAAUACACGCCGUGGAGGGUGAGAGCCCCGUCCAACCCGCACAGGACACGCCGUACAAGGGCGUCUCAGACGAGUCGGGUAGCUUGGGAAUGCUGCUCUAAUUGGUGGUAAAUCUCAUCAAAGGCUAAAUAGCGGCCGGAGACCGAUAGCGAACAAGUACCGUGAGGGAAAGAUGACAAGCACUUUGAAAAGAGGGUGAAAAGAGCCUGAAACCGUCAUGGGGGAAGCGGAUUGCGUUGGAUUGGUGGGUUGCUGUGUGUUCAGCCUUUUGGUGCAUUGGCACAGCAACUUAUCUGCCGUGGGUUCCGGGUGGUUGAUUUUGGACCGCCUGGGGCUGAGGGCUCCCUUUUAUAGGUGAGGACGGUAGAGCAACGACGCGAUACGACCCGUCUUGAAACACGGACCAAGGAGUCUAGCGCGGGUGCGAGUCAGAGGGUGCAAGCCCGUGGGCGAAGUGAAAGCGAGUGUAAAAACGAGCAGUUUGGGGCGGCAUUAGAUUGUUAAUCUAAGGUCCGACCUUGAGCAGUUGCGCUGGGACCCGAAAGAUGGUGAACUAUGCCGGAGUAGGGCAAAGCCAGAGGAAACUCUGGUGGAGGCUCGUAGCGGUGCUGACGUGCAAAUCGCUCGUCCAACUUGGGUAUAGGGGCGAAAGACUAAUCGAACCAUCUAGUAGCUGGUUCCCUCCGAAGUUUCUCUCAGGAUAGCGGGCCGACAUGUGUUGUUUUGUGCGGUAAAGCGAAUGAUUAGCGCACUCGGGGGCAGUUAGCCUUCGGGCGAUUCUCAAACUUUCAAUGCGCAAGGGUGCCGCUGCUUUGUUGAGCGGCACCGGCAAAAACGUCGGCCCUGUGGGCCACUUUUGGUAAGCAGAACUGGCGAUACGGGAUGAACCGUAAGCGCGGUUAAGGCGCCUAACUGCCCGCUUAUAGACCCCACAAAAGGUGUUGAUUCAUCGAGACAGCAGGACGGUGGCCAUGGAAGUCGGAAUCCGCUAAGGAGUGUGUAACAACUCACCUGCCGAAUGAAUUAGCCCUGAAAAUGGAUGGCGCUGAAGCGGGCGGCCGACACCGCGCCGUCUGGUAAAGAAUUAUGAUCAGAUGAGUAGGAGGGCGUGGUGGCCGUGCCGAAGCGUGCGUGCAGACGCGCGUGGAACGGCCACUAGUGCAGAUCUUGGUGGUAGUAGCAAGUAUUCAAGCGAGAUCCUUGAAGGGCGAAGCGGGGAAGGGUUCCACGCGAACAUUGAUUGGGCGUGGGUGAGUCGUUCCUAAGCCGAGUGGCGAUUGCUAAGUAGCGGCGAAAGGGAAGCGGGUUGACAUUCCCGCACACGGAUGUGGAGGCGGUGACGCGUAUUGGGGCGAACACGCUGGCGACGGCGCUGGGCAGAGUUGUCUUUUCUGUUUGACCUGUUUGCGCGCGGUGUGGAAUCCGCUUGUCGGGAGAAACACGCGUGUUGGGGCAGAGCGCCGGGGCUUUUCCGGCGUCCAGCUCGCCGUCGACGGCCCUUGAAACUUUGCCUGCUGAUUUAAAUCCACGCCGUGGCGUACCGAUCACCGCAUCAGGUCCCCAAGGUGAACAGCCUCUGCUCAAUAUGAACAAUGCAGGUAAGGGAAGUCGGCAAAUUAGACCCGUAACUUUGGGAUAAGGGUUGGCUCUAGUGCUGCGUGGGAGUGGUUGCCUAGUGUCGGGGUUUUCGGUGAGGCUGGCUUGGCGCGGAUCCCUCGGGAACUGUUCCGGCUGCUGAACUGAUGAUUCCGCGCUGGGCGACGCCCACAGCAUGCAGCAGACUAGAACUGCAACGGGCAAAGGGAAUCCGACUGUUUAAUUAAAACAAAGCAUUGCGAGGGCCGUGGCCGGUGAUGACGCAAU